GAUGAACGCUGGCGGCGUGCCUAAUACAUGCAAGUCGAGCGAACAGACGAGGAGCUUGCUCCUCUGACGUUAGCGGCGGACGGGUGAGUAACACGUGGAUAACCUACCUAUAAGACUGGGAUAACUUCGGGAAACCGGAGCUAAUACCGGAUAAUAUAUUGAACCGCAUGGUUCAAUAGUGAAAGACGGUUUUGCUGUCACUUAUAGAUGGAUCCGCGCCGCAUUAGCUAGUUGGUAGGGUAACGGCUUACCAAGGCAACGAUGCGUAGCCGACCUGAGAGGGUGCUCGGCCACACUGGAACUUGGACACGGUCCAGACUCCUACGGGAGGCAGCAGUAGGGAAUCUUCCGCAAUGGGCGAAAGCUUGACGGAGCAACGCCGCGUGAGUGAUGAAGGUCUUCGGAUCGUAAAACUCUGUUAUUAGGGAAGAACAAAUGUGUAAGUAACUAUGCACGUCUUGACGGUACCUAAUCAGAAAGCCACGGCUAACUACGUG
rnacentral:rRNA from 1 species